CCCUCUGGUCGAAACCAGUGCAGGGGGAAGUUGAGGCUUGUUCUUCCUCACUGUCCCCACCAGGGUGAGCUUUAUUUUCAGCAGCUCCUGACCAAGCCCAUGUGAUGUUAUGCCCCUGAGACCGGCUAUCAUGUCCAACACAACACGCAUGCCUUGUUUUUUUUCUGGCCUUCCAGUAACAGGUUUCCCUGUUUAAACCUGCAUAUUCCUGGCGUAGCUGCUCCUAGCAUCACAUGCUGCCCAGAUCUUGAUCCCAUACUUGCCUGGUUUGCUUGGGAUGUACUGUUUGAAUGGACAGCGACCUCUGAAAGGGACAAGGCGCUCGUCCACUGUCACCUCAGGGCCUGGAUGUACAUCAGUGGUAGGUGCUCCCCCCACCUGUCCCAAACGUUCCUGAUGCCAACCAGUUGGUCGUCUCGCCAGCGGAAAGGUCGUGUAGCUCUGUCAUCCAAUCUGAUAACUCUUGAGAGGACAUGGAACUGCUGCAGGGACAUAGUUGACCGGAAUAUAGGCCUCCCUGACUCUGCAUCCAACAGACUUUUUGUAGCCUCAUUGUUGGGCCGAUGUACUCCUGGUAGAAUCAACAGAGCCAUGUAGGCUUGGAGGUCUACCUGGUCCAAUGCCUUCCAUGUGUCCGCAAACACACGCCCCCCCCUUCCAGGUUUGUCAUCGCCAGUAUAAUUUCCACAAUGGACUCUGGUAAAAAGAGUUGGAAGCUGGACUUGAUGUCAGCCACACGAGAUGUUGCAUACCGUGUUGGCCCUGGUGUCAUCCUAAUGAUAUUUUCCCCUCUUGCUCUGCCUCCUCUGUCCUGGGGGGAUGAAUACCAGAGCAAGUUGCCAUCCUUGGACUGGAAUUCAACCUCAGGUGCCCCCUCCCCAGUUGCCCCCUCCCCAGGGGCCCCCUCCCCAGGGGCCUCUUCCUCAGGGGCCUCUUCCUCAGGGGCCAUCUGUUGACUGUUCGGCUUCAUGAUGAUCUGGAUCAAAAUCAGGAUCGUUGUCUUCUAUCUCUGAGACUUGCUCCUCUAUUUCUGGUUCAACUCCAAUCCCCUCUACAUCAGUUUGAAAAAAAGGCCAUCCUUGGACUGGAAUUCAACCUCAGGUGCCCCCUCCCCAGGUGCCUCUUCCCCAGGGGCCUCUUCCCCAGGGGCCUCUUCCCCAGGGGCCUCUUCCCCAGGGGCCUCUUCCUCAGGGGCCAUCUGUUGACUGUUCGGCUUCAUGAUGAUCUGGAUCAAAAUCAGGAUCGUUGUCUUCUAUCUCUGAGAAUCCUCAGUUUGGUUCCUUAAUUUUGUUCCUACCACCGCCUGGAUUUGAGCACAAUGUCCAUGCAACAGAUAUGCCCGAUGAGAGAUGGCAGGAACAGCAAUGAUGGUGAAAGCAGUUGAAUCAGUCCAGUUGAAAUAGUCGUCCCUCAAAAAAAAACAGCCAGGAUAUCCCUCCAUUAACUCGGAAAGCACCUGUCCGGAGCUCUCCCCAGAAGACUACUUUUUUUUUUAUUAGGUAUCUUAUCUUUAUCAUUUCGGUAUCUUAUCUAUAUCAUUUUCUUCAUCAAUAAACUACUAUCGCAGUUG